rnacentral:rRNA from 1 species
AGCAGCCGCGGUAAUUCCAGCUCCAAUAGCGUAUAUUAAAGUUGUUGCAGUUAAAAAGCUCGUAGUUGAAUUUCGGGACCAAUCUGCCGGUCGUGCCCCCGGUACGCACUGGUUUUAUUGGUUUCUCCCUUCUGACGAACCAUGAUGUCAUUAAUUUGGUGUCAUGGGGAAUCAGGACUGUUACUUUGAAAAAAUUAGAGUGUUUAUAGCAGGCUCACGCUUGAAUACAUUAGCAUGGAAUAAUGAAAUAGGACGUUUGACCCUAUUUUGUUGGUUUCUAGGAUCGACGUAAUGAUUAAUAGGGAUAGUUGGGGGCAUUAGUAUUCAAUUGUCAGAGGUGAAAUUCUUGGAUUUAUUGAAGACUAACUACCGCGAAAGCAUUUGCCAAGGAUGUUUUCAUUAAUCAAGAACGAAAGUUAGGGGAUCGAAGACGAUCAGAUACCGUCGUAG